rnacentral:rRNA from 1 species
GGGUGCGACCAUACCAGCACUAACGCACCGGAUCCCAUCAGAACUCUGAAGUUAAGCGUGCUUGGGCGAGAGUAGUACUAGGAUGGGUGACCCCCUGGAAAGUUCUCGUGUUGCACCCC